CAGACAGCUGAACUUCAGAGGAAGCACUGCACUUGUCCUGCAGAGAUCAGUUGCUAGAGGGGACUUUAAACGUGAGGUCAGUCUAAUUGCUGUAUUUUUGAGCUUUACAGAAUGGCUAAUUUCACUUGACUCUUGGGAGGUGGGGUUAGGGUUUUUAGUUGUGCAAUUAGGAGACCUGAAGUGCCUGCACUGUUUCUAGAAAAAUGUGGCUAAAAAACAGGUCUGGGAUUCUGACUGUAUUUUCUUUGCCUGCCCUUUUUUGGCCCUAGAAUUGACUAUCUGUGUCUGCUGCAGCUGGAGAUGCCCUGUCAGCUGGAGAGGCAGAAGAUAAAGGGGAGGCAGAGAUAUGUCUGUGUUGGUGCUCUGGAUAUUCUUCAGACAUCCCACUCCAGCCUACGUACAGAAAAAGCAAGAUCUUCACAGCAAAAUUCACAUGUAGAAAUAUGAUUGCAGAGAAUUAUAGAACUAUUUGUGAGGUUUGCAAAGUACUGCAGAAAAGUAAUAAAUAAGUCAAAGAGUAAGGAUAAGCUACACUAUUCAACAACUCAUUUCUUAUAUUUUAGUAAUUUUAACAUAAAGCUGUUUCAGCAAUAAGCAAAAUUUGUUUCAAGUAUUUUAGUAUAAAUGUAUUUACUUUAACAGAAAAAAAUAAAAAUCCUUGACCUUUUUUGC